UGGAGAGGCCACGUGGAAGACUGUUUGUAUCAGUUCUACCCUGGAGGCAAGAACUUAGCAGGUGGCCAAGCUUCAGGUUGAGGAGGGAUCCAGAUCAUGGGGGGUGGGGGAUAUCGUGGGGUCUUCAGGAGGAAGCAGGCUGACAACAGCCACAGGGACCCAGCCCCUGGACAUGGCCCAGAGAGAGCCAAUGGACCCCGACGUGCUGUGUGAUCUGUAGAAAGUCUUCCACCUCUCUGAGUCCGAGUCUCCUGAUCUGUCCAAGAAGAACAGGUGCCCAAACAACCUUGCUGGGAUGUGGAAGGGGAGACCCAGAGAAGUGGGGUGACUCGCCUAAAGCUGCACAGCCCGGGAGAGAAGAGUUGGGAGUCUCUCGUUAUGCUGAGUGAAAUAAGUCAAUCGGAGAAGGGGAAUAUCAGAAAAUGAUGCUCGGUUUCUAACAGCCUAAUGAUUCUGUGGAGCACGGGCAUCGCACGGCUCUGUCCCAGUGCUGCCCCCACAGGAGCAUUAGCGAUCCUUCCAGCAACGCUGUAAGAAAGCAAUGUCUGAAGAAAGAAAGGAACAGAUGCGCUUUGAGAAGUAGAAAGGAUUGGAUCGCAUGGAGCUCUAGGAGUUGCCCGCGAGGCUCCCAAAGGCCCCUUCCGAGAAGCAGGUGCAGAGAAGUCCCACCCCAUCCCUCAGCUGUUGGCCUCUCUCAUUCAAAGAAAACAGCUUCUGCCUCUCUGCAUGUUCCCCAACUCCACACACUAGCCAGAGGGGGUGCUCUCCGGGGCCAAUCAGAUGGCGCCACUGCCUUGCUCAGAACCCUCCCAUGGCUCCCCAGUGCCUUCAAGAUCAAGCCCCAACUUCUUUCUGUGGUCACCAUGUACCUCCAGGGUGCUGCUACCUGGCCAGCCUUACCUUUUCCUCCUGCACCCUACGGAAGCCCCAGGUCAACCUGCAAAACCACCCACAUCUCCCUUCAGCUAAUACAGUUUUUCUCCCCUGGAUAAUUUUGCACUCACGAUCCCCUUGUUCUGGGUAGCCCUCUCCCCACUGCCAGCCUUGUCCAUGUGAUGUUCAGAGCCAGACUCUUCACCCAGGUGCACAAAGCUGCCUGGGGAAAGCCUGAAACGCUGUGCCAAAAAAGUUGGAGGAUGGGCCCUUCUCCACUUCCCCCAUCUGAUUUCCUGCAGUCUGUUUGCUGGUCAACAGCUUGCAUGUAAAAUUGAGGCCCACAGGCGUCCCGCUGGCUGAGCACAGGGGGACCCGCUCCAGAUACACUGCACACCUGCACCGCCCUCCCCACUCCCCCUCUCUUCAAGGCUUCGAGCCCAAAGACCACAGGCAGCAAAUGCACCCCAAAUUCUCUUCUGUUUCCUCUUUCCAGAACUAAGGGAAGGAAGCAAGAUGGGGCUAUUUGUGUGUGUGCACACACAUGUAAAGUCCCUUUCCUUCCUGUGACUCCACAGCUUCUUUGAAUAGAGUUGCUAUAUAUAAAACACAUAAAAAAUAUACCUAAGAUGCAUGUACAUAUUAAACGU